rnacentral:lncRNA from 1 species
AGCUUUAGCUGUCCAGAGAGCUGGUUGAGCUUACACUGGAGAAGAGGCUCAGCAGAUGAGCAAAAUCUUCAGUGAAAGAGACAAGUGGUUGAUCAAAGGCAUGCACCAUGGAAGAGAGACUCAUGACCCAGACUCUUGGAGCCAGGUUCCUGCAGAGCCAUCUGCCUUCGUUCCAAGGCUGGCUCAGCCAACAUGUGCCAAGCUCUCCAAGUCCUGCUGUAGCUUCAGAGACUACACAAACCAGAGUCCAGUCAGCUACUGAUCCAAGAAAGACCACAGAGAUCUGAGAGAGCCACCCAAGACUACGGAACCUACAGCACACUGUCACGAAGAGAACUGAUAUCUACCAAGCCUGACCAGAAUAGAAGAACUAUACUCCUGACCCACAGACACGCAUAGUGUAAGACAGUAGUUGUUUAAGCCAUUAAAAAAUAGGAGGCAAUAACCCCAAA